UUUUGUUUGGAAUGGCACGUACGUAGACAUGGAGAUACAUAAGGCAUCGCCCCCAUGAUAUUAAUUACAAGCUUCGUUCUCAUUUCUCAUUGACAUUUACUUCGCCAGAAACCGUCACUCACUCACUCACUCUCCGUUUGUUUGUUUGUGGAACAUUGGGUCUGUUUGGCCAUGGGUGAGACGCUCUUGCCAGCUAUCGGGGUUGAGAUUUUGAUUCCGGCGUGCGCGUUGGUGGCAAUAGCGUUCGCGCUAGUCCAGUGGCUCCUCGUUUCGCGAGUCAAGCUCUCGCCGCACGGUCUCGACUCCGCAGGUACCGACGGUGGCGCCGGCAAGAAUGGCCACGCCGAAUACCUCAUCGAAGAAGAGGAAGGCCUUACCGAUCACAGCGUCGUCCUCAAGUGCGCCGAUAUCCAAAGCGCCAUUGCUGAAGGAGCAACCUCCUUCCUAUUUACGGAAUACAAGUAUGUUGGUAUUUUCAUGGUGGCUUUUGCUGUAUUGAUAUUCCUUUUCCUAGGCUCUGUGGAGGGUUUUAGCGCAAGCAGUCAGCCUUGCACAUAUGACCGAACCAAGUUGUGCAAGCCUGCUCUUGCGACUGCUAUCUUCAGUACCUUAUCAUUCUUGCUUGGUGCUUUCACCUCGGUGGCCUCUGGCUUCCUUGGAAUGAAGAUUGCUACCUAUGCUAAUGCCAGAACCACCCUGGAGGCAAGAAAGGGCGUUGGGAAGGCAUUUAUCACAGCAUUCAGAUCUGGUGCUGUCAUGGGCUUUCUCCUUGCAGCCAACGGUCUCUUGGUGCUUUACAUUGCCAUCAAUCUCUUUAAGCUGUACUAUGGUGAUGAUUGGGAAGGCCUUUUUGAGUCUAUCACUGGUUAUGGUCUUGGUGGAUCUUCCAUGGCUCUCUUUGGUAGAGUUGGUGGGGGUAUCUAUACUAAAGCUGCUGAUGUUGGUGCUGAUCUUGUUGGAAAGGUUGAGAGAAACAUUCCUGAGGAUGACCCUAGAAAUCCAGCUGUCAUAGCUGAUAAUGUUGGCGAUAAUGUUGGGGAUAUAGCCGGUAUGGGAUCUGAUCUUUUUGGCUCAUAUGCUGAGUCCUCCUGUGCUGCCCUGGUUGUUGCAUCCAUCUCCUCUUUUGGGAUCAAUCACGACUUUACUGCAAUGCUAUAUCCUCUCAUUGUUAGUUCUAUGGGUAUCCUUGUUUGUUUGAUCACCACUCUAUUUGCAACUGAUUUCAUUGAAAUCAAGGAUGUGAAAGAAAUUGAGCCAGCAUUGAAGAGGCAGCUCAUCAUUUCGACUAUUUUGAUGACUGUUGGGGUUGCACUUGUUAGUUGGAUUGCGCUCCCACCUUCCUUCACCAUAUUCAACUUCGGAACUCAGAAAGUUGUGAAGAACUGGCAGUUGUCCUUGUGCGUUGCUGUUGGCUUGUGGGCUGGGCUUAUUAUUGGCUUUGUUACCGAGUAUUACACUAGCAAUGCCUACAGUCCUGUACAAGACGUUGCUGAUUCCUGCCGGACUGGAGCUGCUACUAAUGUCAUUUUUGGCCUUGCAUUGGGCUACAAAUCUGUUAUUAUUCCUAUUAUUGCCAUUGCUGUUAGUAUCUAUGUUAGUUUCAGUUUUGCUGCUAUGUAUGGUAUUGCAAUGGCUGCCCUUGGAAUGCUGAGCACCAUAGCUACUGGAUUGGCCAUUGAUGCAUAUGGUCCCAUCAGUGAUAAUGCUGGAGGCAUUGCUGAGAUGGCAGGCAUGAGCCACAGGAUUCGAGAGAGAACCGAUGCCCUCGAUGCUGCAGGAAACACCACUGCUGCUAUUGGAAAGGGCUUUGCAAUUGGUUCAGCCGCUCUUGUGUCCCUGGCCCUCUUUGGUGCUUUUGUGAGCCGUGCAGGAAUCUCAACAGUUGAUGUCUUGUCUCCAAAAGUGUUCAUUGGCUUGCUUGUGGGAGCAAUGCUUCCUUACUGGUUCUCCGCCAUGACGAUGAAGAGUGUGGGAAGUGCAGCUCUGAAGAUGGUUGAGGAAGUGCGCAGGCAAUUCAACUCCAUCCCAGGUCUCAUGGAGGGCACUACCAAGCCUGACUAUGCUACCUGUGUUAAGAUCUCCACUGAUGCUUCCAUCAAAGAGAUGAUCCCACCUGGUGCUCUCGUCAUGCUCACAUCUUAUUGUAGGUAUCCUUUUUGGUGUGGAAACUCUCUCUGGCGUCCUCGCCGGAUCCCUUGUUUCUGGUGUACAGAUUGCUAUCUCUGCAUCCAACACUGGUGGCGCAUGGGAUAAUGCCAAAAAAUAUAUUGAGGCUGGUGCUUCAGAGCAUGCAAGAACCCUUGGUCCAAAAGGAUCGGAUCCGCAUAAGGCAGCUGUUAUUGGUGAUACUAUUGGCGACCCACUCAAGGAUACAUCUGGACCAUCUCUCAACAUUCUUAUCAAGCUAAUGGCAGUUGAGUCACUUGUGUUUGCUCCCUUCUUUGCUACACAUGCUUUUCUGAACUAGAAGCCAGAAGGGGCAACGCGUAGUACUUCUGCUACCUCUCCAUCUGCGUUUGUCUCUACUGUUUUUCACAAAUCUCAUCAGAGAGCUCCUCUCGCUCCCGCAAAUUGCAAUGCUCUCUCCCUCUUCUCUUCACCGCCGUUAUUCAACUCUACCACCAUCCACACCCUCUCUCUCUUUCUCCCCUCUGCAUCACUCUCUCUCUUUCUUCAACCCCCUUACUACCCCCACCUUCUCUCUAAGCCGCCGCACACCACUACGCAUUCGGGCCCUCGACGCCGCCCAGCCCUUUGACUAUGAAUCCAAGCUCGCCUCUGCCCAUUUCCACACCAGCCAGCAUCUCAAAAUCGCCAUUGUCGGCUUCGGCAACUACGGGCAGUUUCUCGCCAAAACCCUCGUCCGCCAAGGCCACACCGUCCUCGCCCACUCCCGCUCCGACUACUCCCACAUAGCCAAGAACCUCGGUGUCUCCUUCUUCUCCGACCCCCACGACCUCUGCGAACAACACCCGGAAGUCAUUAUCCUCUGUAGCUCCAUCAUCUCCACCGAACGGGUGCUCCGCUCCCUCCCUCUCCAGCGACUCAAGCGUAGUACUUUGUUCGUCGACGUUCUUUCGGUCAAAGAGCUCCCUAGAGAUCUGCUGCUAGACCUUUUGCCCAAUGAUUUCGAUCUGAUUUGCUCGCACCCAAUGUUCGGACCCCAAAGCGCCAGGCGCAGCUGGAAUGGGUGUUUCUUUGUCUACGAAAAAGUCCGAAUUGGCGACGAAGAAUCAAGGAUCUCGCGGUGCGAGAAGUUCCUCGACGUUUUCGCGCGAGAAGGGUGUAAAAUGGUGGAGAUGUGCUGCGCGGAGCACGACAGGUACGCGGCGGGUUCACAGUUCAUUACCCAUACAGUUGGGAGGGUAUUGGAGAUGUUGAACUUGGAGUCCACGCCGAUUAAUACCAAGGGGUAUGAGACUUUGCUGGAUUUGGUGGAGAACACGGCGGCGGAUAGCUUUGAUUUGUAUUACGGGUUGUUCAUGUACAAUAAUAGCGCGUUGGAGAUGUUGGAGAGGUUGGAUUUGGCUUUCGAGGAGUUGAGGAAUGAGCUCUUCGGCCGCUUGCAUCAUGUGGUGAGGAAACAAUUGUUUGAGAAGGUGCGAAACUCGCAGGAAAGUAGCGCUCGGCCUCGAAAUGGUGCUGCAUUGCCAUCUUCUGCAUUGGCUCUGAGGUCUGAGGAUAGUGCUCAACCGAAUGAGUACAAAGGGCAGAUCUCUGAUCGCUUUGGUGACAGCUCAAAACUAAAAAUUGCAAUAGUUGGAUUUGGCAACUUUGGUCAGUUCCUUGCGAAGACUAUUGUACACCAAGGACACACUGUUUUGGCAUAUUCUAGAUCGGACUACUCUGAUGUUGCAAAAAAAUUAGGAGUUUCUUACUUCUCUGAUGCAGACGAUCUUUGUGAAGAGCACCCUGAAGUUAUUCUUCUUUGUACUUCCAUUCUAUCUACUGAGAAAGUUCUGAAGUCAUUACCAGUUCAGAGACUGAAGAGGAGUACUCUGUUUGUUGAUGUUCUUUCUGUGAAAGAAUUUCCUAGAAGUUUGUUUCUUCAAAAUCUGCCACCCGAUUUUGAUGUUCUCUGCACACAUCCUAUGUUUGGACCUGAGAGUGGUAAAAAUGGGUGGAAUGGUCUUCCUUUUGUUUAUGAUAAGGUUAGAGUUGGAAGUGAUGAAUCAAGAGUAUCACGGUGUGACUGGUUUCUUGAUAUUUUUGCACGAGAAGGGUGCCGAAUGGUGGAAAUGAGUUGUGCAGAACAUGAUUGGCAUGCGGCAGGGUCACAGUUCAUUACUCACACGAUGGGAAGGGUUUUGGAAAAGUUGGAGUUGGAGUCAACACCUAUUAACACAAAAGGCUAUGAGACUUUGUUAAAUCUGGUGGAGAAUACUGCAGGGGAUAGUUUUGACCUUUACUAUGGCUUAUUCAUGUACAAUGUAAAUGCAAUGGAGCAGCUAGAGAGGUUAGACCAUUCUUUUGAAUCAUUGAAGAAGCAGCUCUUUGGGCGUUUGCAUGGUGUUCUUCGGAAGCAACUGUUUGAGGAUGCAGAGAAGUUUGAAGUCUCAUGGGAAAAACGCAUGUUGCCAAAACAAUCGGACGGCAGUGCUGCACUGUCAUCUUCUUUGGAGGCUCUUAAUGGGGAAAACAACUAAGUUCCAUGUUUCGUCUCUGUGCUGAAUGCUUGUUGGUGGUGCUUAAGGCGAUCCAUACUUGUUUGGAGCUGCAAAAAGGAAUCUUUUCUUUAAUCUUCUUUAUGCUGAAGGCAGUAGCUCAAUGUUGCAGUUAUGAUGAGGAUGCGCAGCAUAGAUCAAUGGAUGCACCAAUAAGAAGUGAUUUGAUUCAACUUUGAAGCUCUUGGACAAGGGAAGGUAAAAGAGAAUUAGGAUUGGGGCCACUAGAGAUGACAUAGUGAUAUUUAAUUUUAAGGAAGAUAUGAUUAUUUUUUAGGAAGCUGCCAAUAAGCUAUGGUUUACCAGAAUUUUGGUUAGUUUAGAUUGUUAGAGUUUUGGUUGUUCCUCCAUUUAGGUCCUGACUUUUUGGAAGCUGUUUGAUGUAUGAUUAUUCGAGUAGUUGUCAUGUUGUAAUUUAGGAAAGAGGUAGGAUCUUUUGACAUGUUUCUUUUCUCAUAUUGUUGUGAACUGUAACUUACAAAAAUAAUUGUUAUAAUUGUGAACUUUGAAGCGAAUGAAGAAAUUGUUGGUCCUGGUGGGAUGGACUUUUUCUUUGCCAAAUUUGAAUG